CCUACGGGUGGCAGCAGUGAGGAAUAUUGGUCAAUGGGCGCGAGCCUGAACCAGCCAAGUCGCGUGAAGGAUGACUGCCCUACGGGUUGUAAACUUCUUUUAUAAAGGAAUAAAGUGAGGCACGUGUGCCUUUUUGUAUGUACUUUAUGAAUAAGGAUCGGCUAACUCCGUGCCAGCAGCCGCGGUAAUACGGAGGAUCCGAGCGUUAUCCGGAUUUAUUGGGUUUAAAGGGUGCGUAGAUGGGUUGAUAAGUCAGUUGUGAAAGUUUGCGGCUCAACCGUAAAAUUGCAAUUGAUACUGGCAGCCUAGAGAACAGUUGAGGUAGGCGGAAUGCGUGGUGUAGCGGUGAAAUGCUUAGAGAUCACGAAGAACUCCGAUUGCGAAGGCAGCUUACUAAGCUGCCACUGACAUUGAGGCACGAAAGUGUGGGGAGCAAACAGGAUUAGAUACCCCUGUAGUC
rnacentral:rRNA from 1 species